rnacentral:RNase_P_RNA from 3 species
ACGUUCGGGUAAUUGCGGCAACACUUUAGUUGCUGAGGAAAGUCCAUGCUCGCACGGUGCUGAGAUGCCCGUAGUGUUUGUGCCUAGCGAAUACAUAAGCUAGGGCAGUUUGAUUAUUCAAACUGACGGCAGGGAAAAUACCUAAGUCACUGUUUUGUGAUAUGGUAUGAGUACUUUGAAAGUGCCACAGUGACGGAGCUUUAUGAGAAAUCAUAAAGGUGGAACGAGGUAAACCCCACAAGCGAGCAACUCAAAUUAUGGUAGAGGCAUUCUUUCUGAGGAAAUGAACGAGGAAAGAGACAAGUGUAUACUUGUAGAUAGAUGAUUACCGCCCGCGUACGAGAUGCAACCACAUCGUUUGUAGUACAAAGGUACAGAACAUGGCUUAUAGAA